GAUAAACGCUGGCGGCGUGCCUAACACAUGCAAGUCGAACGCGCAUGAAGCAAUUCGUGUGAGUGGCGGACGGGUGAGUAACACGUGGGAACCUACCCUUUGGUGAGGAAUACCGGCGAGAAAUCGCCGACAAGACCGCAUCCGUUUGCGAAAGCAAACAAAGCUCCGCGAGGGGCGCCAGAGGAGGGGCCUGCGGCCGAUUAGCUAGUUGGGGGGGUAAAGGCCUCCCAAGGCAACGAUCGGUAGCUGGUCUGAGAGGAUGAUCAGCCACACUGGGAGUGAGAACGGCCCAGACUCCUACGGGGGGCAGCAGUGAGGAAUUGUCGUCAAUGGGGGAAACCCUGAACGAGCAACGCCGCGUGCAGGAAGAAGGUUUUCGGAUCGUAAACUGCUUUUCUCUGGGACGAGAAAGGACGGUACCAGAGGAAGAAGCCCCGGCUAACUACGUGCCAGCAGCCGCAGUAAAAC
rnacentral:rRNA from 1 species